UACGGGGGGUGCAAGCGUUAAUCGGAAUUACUGGGCGUAAAGAGUGCGUAGGUGGUUUGAUAAGUUAGCUGUGAAAUUCCUGGGCUCAACCUAGGGUGGUCAGCUAAGACUGUUAGACUCGAGUAUGGGAGAGGGUAGUGGAAUUUCCGGUGUAGCGGUGAAAUGCGUAGAGAUCGGAAGGAACACCAGUGGCGAAGGCGGCUACCUGGCCUAAUACUGACACUGAGGCACGAAAGCGUGGGGAGCAAACAGG
rnacentral:rRNA from 1 species